GCAGUCGAACGAUGAUCCCAGCUUGCUGGGGGAUUAGUGGCGAACGGGUGAGUAACACGUGAGUAACCUGCCCUUGACUCUGGGAUAAGCCUGGGAAACUGGGUCUAAUACCGGAUACGACCAUUCCACGCAUGUGGUGGUGGUGGAAAGCUUUUGUGGUUUUGGAUGGACUCGCGGCCUAUCAGCUUGUUGGUGGGGUAAUGGCCUACCAAGGCGACGACGGGUAGCCGGCCUGAGAGGGUGACCGGCCACACUGGGACUGAGACACGGCCCAGACUCCUACGGGAGGCAGCAGUGGGGAAUAUUGCACAAUGGGCGCAAGCCUGAUGCAGCGACGCCGCGUGAGGGAUGACGGCCUUCGGGUUGUAAACCUCUUUCAGUAGGGAAGAAGCGUAAGUGACGGUACCUGCAGAAGAAGCGCCGGCUAACUACGUGCCAGCAGCCGCGGUAAUACGUAGGGCGCAAGCGUUAUCCGGAAUUAUUGGGCGUAAAGAGCUCGUAGGCGGUUUGUCGCGUCUGCUGUGAAAGACCGGGGCUCAACUCCGGUUCUGCAGUGGGUACGGGCAGACUAGAGUGCAGUAGGGGAGACUGGAAUUCCUGGUGUAGCGGUGAAAUGCGCAGAUAUCAGGAGGAACACCGAUGGCGAAGGCAGGUCUCUGGGCUGUAACUGACGCUGAGGAGCGAAAGCAUGGGGAGCGAACAGGAUUAGAUACCCUGGUAGUCCAUGCCGUAAACGUUGGGCACUAGGUGUGGGGGACAUUCCACGUUUUCCGCGCCGUAGCUAACGCAUUAAGUGCCCCGCCUGGGGAGUACGGCCGCAAG
rnacentral:rRNA from 1 species